UACAGGUGCCCGUUGCCGGGAGAAUAGGGAAGAUCGGAAGAAUCGCCGGAUUCUGAAACGACGCGGUCGCGCCACUGUAAUCGGGGAGUUUGUCUGCAUUUGCCACCGUCCGCGGGAAGGCGCAGCCGGAUGAUGAUCCGUAGCCAGGAGACCUGCCUGUAUGG
rnacentral:ncRNA from 1 species